rnacentral:tRNA from 1 species
GACAAGUUGGCCGAGUUGUCUAAGGCGCAAGAUUUAAGCUCUGGUUCCCUAAUGGGAGCGUGGGUUCGAACCCACACUUGACA